rnacentral:rRNA from 1 species
AUGAACGCUAGCGGCAGGCUUAACACAUGCAAGUCGAGGGGCAGCAUGACACGGAGAUUCGUCGAAGUGUUGAUGGCGACCGGCGCAAGGGUGCGUAACGCGUGAGCAACUUGCCCGUUUCUGGGGAAUAACCGGUGGAAACGCCGACUAAUACCCCAUAGUAUAACGAAGAGGCAUCUUUUGUUAUUAAAGAAUUUCGGAAACGGAUAGGCUCGCGUGACAUUAGCUAGAUGGCGGGGUAACGGCCCACCAUGGCGACGAUGUCUAGGGGUUCUGAGAGGAAGAUCCCCCACACUGGUACUGAGAUACGGACCAGACUCCUACGGGAGGCAGCAGUGAGGAAUAUUGGUCAAUGGUCGGAAGACUGAACCAGCCAUGCCGCGUGCAGGAAGAAUGUCUUAUGGAUUGUAAACUGCUUUUGUAUGGGAAUAAUAAUAGCUUUGCGAAGUUAGAUGCAUGUACCAUACGAAUAAGGAUCGGCUAACUCCGUG